rnacentral:rRNA from 1 species
UAGGUGAACCUGCGGAGGGAUCAUUACCGAGUUUACAACUCCCAAACCCAAUGUGAACGUUACCAAACUGUUGCCUCGGCGGGAUCUCUGCCCCGGGUGCGUCGCAGCCCCGGACCAAGGCGCCCGCCGGAGGACCAACCUAAAACUCUUAUUGUAUACCCCCUCGCGGGUUUUUUUAUAAUCUGAGCCUUCUCGGCGCCUCUCGUAGGCGUUUCGAAAAUGAAUCAAAACUUUCAACAACGGAUCUCUUGGUUCUGGCAUCGAUGAAGAACGCAGCGAAAUGCGAUAAGUAAUGUGAAUUGCAGAAUUCAGUGAAUCAUCGAAUCUUUGAACGCACAUUGCGCCCGCCAGUAUUCUGGCGGGCAUGCCUGUCCGAGCGUCAUUUCAACCCUCGAACCCCUCCGGGGGGUCGGCGUUGGGGAUCGGCCCUCCCUUAGCGGGUGGCCGUCUCCGAAAUACAGUGGCGGUCUCGCCGCAGCCUCUCCUGCGCAGUAGUUUGCACACUCGCAUCGGGAGCGCGGCGCGUCCACAGCCGUUAAACACCCAACUUCUGAAAUGUUGACCUCGGAUCAGGUAGGAAUACCCGCUGAACUUAAGCAUAUCAAUAAGCGGA